AACUAGACUAUAAAUUCAGUCAGCAAACCACCCCUUCUAAACACUGCGUUGAUGCUCUCUGGUCGUUGUGAUUUUAUUAGAAUUUUCAGAAUCGCGUAUUUUGCUUAUUUUAUUUGAGUAGUGCGUAAUGAUAUGGUUAACUGUAGUAGUACAGGUUUAAUAGCAGCAGUGUAGUGUGAAACUAGGUGAAGUUGACCAGAUAAUAUAGCUAUGCUACUGUAGCUAACGUUAGCUGUUGAGUUGUCAUUUGACGCCUAGAUUUGUUACUAUCUAUAUCUAUCGCUUUCUAGCGACGGAUCGUACAUGAUUUUGUAUUUGUUUAAAAACAAAGAAGGUGACGUUAAGUCAUAGCAACUCGCUAGCUAAGGACAUUUUUUAAUUCUGACGUGUCAGUUGACAAAAGUCAAGAUGGUGGCCACAAAAACGAGAUUAACGUUCGGUGGCAGGGUCUUGUUUUUAGCAGCGGAGGUUACCUAAUAUACCUCAGAAGUAUGCUUAGUUCAACUGAACUGGCAUCGGCAUUAAUUCUAAGCUAAGUAACAGCGAAAUUUUUAGUAAAAUUGUUUGCCAAACAAAAUACUGGUCUUGUGGCGCACUUGUAGGCCCGAUUCAAAAUGGCGAUUAGGGAGAAACGGAUGUCCUGGCGAUUCGGUGCAGUUAUCUGAAGAUCAAGCUACGAAUGUCAUUUUCGAAGAUCAGAAAAUAAUCAGGUUGUAUAAGAAGCGUUAUCGAAAGAACCAAGUUACAAUUCAAUACAACCUGAUACAAUUCAAUUAAGUUCCCAUUUAUCUGAGGCAGUAUAGUUACUUCAAUGUGUCUAUUUGAUCUUUUUCCUCAAAUGAACAAUACGUUACAAGAAAAUAAUCAUAUGAAGCCUUGUGAAUACGAAGCUAAAUAUGCACGUUGCUAGACGGUCUUGUGAAGAAUUGUGACGUCAUACGAAUAGCCAGCUAAAUAUUUGAAUAGUGGGCGGUGGUCUCAGGCAGUUAAGCUAACUUCAAGUGGUGUUGCAAGUUGAUCACAUAUCGGGAAGAAAUACAUUUUAUACCGAAUAAGAUUCAGCAAUAGGAGUUAGGUGAAUAUCAGAUGCAUUUUCACGUUUUUGUUAUAUUAAGCCUAAAAUUACGAAUACGUGGACCUGCUGAUAGUUGAUUACAUGUAAGGACAAUCGUAGAAAGUUAAUGUAGGAAGCAAGUUUCAAGACUAAUACCUUGUGAAAAGAUAUGAUGCCUUUGAGAACAGCCAACAACAAAUUGAAGAAUCGAAGUUGGGUGAUGGUCCCAUUUAUCAGAUGUGUUUUAGCAACUUCAAGACGUUUUUGUUUUUACUUUACUUGAAGAACAAGUUCUGAUAGUUGUCUGCUUGUCAGAAAAAAAAUCUGUAUAGGUAACACAACACGUGAGAGAAAAAAGCUAGUAAACUUGAACGAUAUGAAACGUGAAGCCUUAUUCAUUUGAAUAGCAAGCAAAGUAUUGGAAGAGAAUUUGGCCUGACGGUACCUGUAUCAGUCAUUUGAGCUACUUCAAGAAUUAACCACGUUUUUAAACCUAAAAUGUCAGAUGUGCUGCUGAUUAAGUAUCCAAGUGAAGUGGUCGCCUAAAGAGCACGUGCUGUAAUUACUGGAAUCGCAGGCUCAAAUGUGACCUUGUGUUGUCACGCCUCAGAUGUUUUUUUUACUUUUUCAAAACACAAUUGGCUCUAGUGAAGAAAAGAAGGCUUUUUUUUCUGAGAAUGGACUGAGUUUGAGUUGUGAGGGGAAGGACUUAGCUAGUUAGCAGUGUGUAAGGAAGGACUAUUUCAGGAGCAGAGGGAGGAACCAGGCCACGGGCAAACUGGGAGGACCAGCGGGGAGCGAGGCAGGAUCGAGGGAGGAGCAGAUGGGAGCCAGUCGUGGGAAGCAGCCGGGUGUUCAUCAGAGGGAGCGAGCCAGAUGGCAGGGUAGCGAGCCUUGCAGUGAGCCGAGCGCGGAGAAGUUCCAGGUCGACUGUUGCCCUAAGCCAGCCAGUGGGUCCCAGCAGCAAUGAGGCAGACGUGUUAAAGAGCAUACGUGUAAAAGGGUCAACUAGCUUCGCCAGUCACAGGAAAAGUGUUUGGUAAUGGUGUGGUAAAGCGUUUAUUUUCCUGGUUUCCCUUUCCUGUGUGCUGAGUGUCUGCUGUGAUGAGUCCCCCGUGGCCUUCUUGGUAGUGGGCUGGUGAGAGGAGGACCGUCUUAAAAGGAUUUCACCCUACAUCUGCAGCACAGAUGUAGUGCCCCCGGGGCGGAGGAGUUUCUCCUGUCAUUGAGUUCAAUAGGUCUACCCCCCAAGAUGCGGUCUACAUGGGAGUGUGUUGAGUGGGAGGUCUUCUGUACGUCCGUACCGCAACGCCCCUUUGGUGCUGAGCAGCUACAUCUGCUGGUUAAAGUGAGCAGUGAGUUUAAAUGCAUGAUCUGAUCACAUGCGGAGUAACUAUUCCCCUAGCUAAAUAUUGAUAUCAAAUUUACAUUUGCCUUCAUAUUGGUAAUUACGGGAUUAUCCCUGAAUUUCUAUCUAGUCUCGUAUUAUUGGUCCAACUGUAGUGCCUUUGUGGAUGGGGGGGGACAAUUUCCGAGUUCUUCUUUUCACAGGCUCGCCCCUUAAAGCAAAGCUGACCGUCCAAGGGAGUCCCUCUUUAGUACUACCCACCACAUUAAUCAAAAAGAGUUGGGGACAUCGCGUAAAUGAUAGUUCUAGGAUGGAUCAAGUGACCCCUCCGGCGUUAAAGUGAUGUAGGAAGGUAUUUUGUGCUAGUUUUCUGUAGUGAGUUGAUCACAUUUGAAUAUGUACUACCAUACUUAUGUUAAGUGUUUUUCUUCAAUGCAUUUGAACUGGGCAGCCAUAUUUGGGUUGUGGGGGGGAGGGGGGUUGUUAAUCCAAAUUUCUUCCUAGAAUUCUUUCACACAGCUUCGUGUAAAGCAGCAUUUAAAGAUCCAAAUGGCUAGCAUUGAGGUUUGGGGAGCAAGGAAUCAACCGGGUGGUCCACAUCUUUCGGGUGUCCGUUUCGCAUUGUGGUGUAGAGAUUCCUCGGUGUCUACAAGGGUGUAGCAAGUGGCGGGCCACGUUUUGGGAAGUCGACUCGUAUUCUCCCAGGGAGUGUGGUAAUGGUCACCUUUAGAUUGACACAUUUCUAUGUCAUGGAGUAUAAAGUUGCAUUUGGGGUCUCUGGGGUCAGGGGACUGCUUAAUUGUGACUUUUCCAGAUUAUUAUGUGACCCAACCGUUCAAUGAAAGAACAACUAGAGGUCCACGUCUACCCCCGUGUGUCUUAAGGAGAAACGGUGACGCAGAGGCCAGUGGUAUUUUAACGUUUUUUUGUGUGGAAAGUUAAUGAUUUGGGAUUUCCAAAUUUGGUUUUGAUAUUUUCAUUGUAUAUUAGCAACUGUUAAUACAAUUUGAUACUGUAAUUGUGGUGUCUUGGUUGGUUACUGUUUGGGUAUGUCUGUGUGGGUGGGAAUGGUGGAAGGCUUGUUUUCCCUUCUGCAUUUUCCAGUGUGCUGUGUCCUGCAUUUUCAAUACUCAAGACCAACAGGAACACCCCCUAACUCAUUGUAUGUAAACGUUUUCAAUCGCUUCAAAACGCCUCGCAAGGUCUCAAGUAAGGUCACUUACAAAUGUGUUCACAUUUCCCUUUUUAAUAUUUCAUAACAUUUGGCAACACAUAAAUUGCACUCCCUUUGCAAAUUAGGUAAUGUUUUGUAUUGAUUCAACAGAGCUAUCUGUAAAGGAUUCAUAAUUGGUAAUAAAUGCAUAGCUUAUUGUGAUUGAA